AAUUUGUUAAUUUUUUUGCGAUAAAUUGUUGGCCCCAAUUUGGUCCAUAGCGUUAUUUAACUGAUUGAUAGCAACGAAAAUUGUAUCGCUUUUUUUUCGUCCAUUUCAGAUUCCUCAAAAAAUGUACACGAUCCUGACAUAAAAGAUUUUACUUCUUUCAACGAUAUUACAGGAACCUCCGUCUCCUCUUCCUCGUCAUCAUUGUCAUCAUUUUGCUGAUUGGCUGAUUGAAGCGUAGAAGCUGGGAUACAAAAAUGUAGAACAACAUCUUUUUUUUUCACCGGCUUCAACUGCCGCAAUCACUUUUUUUUUGUCGGCGAUCGACUAACACUUAUACUUUACGGGACCCAUAUUCCAACUGACUACGUUUUAUUCG